rnacentral:lncRNA from 1 species
GGUCAAAGCAAUCAACAAUAUAGUUUGAAUGAUGUCAUCAUUUUUAAACAGUUAUAUUAUAGCUUAUGAUUUUAACGAAACUCCAUGCGCCCGGGCAAAUAUUUUACUCACUUGUAAUGUCAUAGAUUUAUUUCAUUUACAUAUCAAACAGAAUUAAAUAUCUCCAGAACGAAAAGAGAUAAUCUAAACAUUUUGAAUAUUAAUCUAUUUUAUAGUUUUACAUGUUCUUUUAGACUGAAAUCCAGGCUUAAGCUUAAGCCUGGAAUUCAGUCUAAAAGAACAUGUAAAACUUUCGUUGCUUUUACGGUAAACUAUCCUGUUUUCAUGGCCAUGCCCAUGACAAGGGCAAAUAUCUCAGAAGAGAGGACUUCGUAGACAUUCAGGCAAAUACGCCGAAGUUAAAAAUAUUUUUAAAGUAUUAGUUUCUUAAUAUUUCUAUUUGCUGCAGUUUGGAGAUAAAAGGAUACUCGCGAUCACGUAUUUUGCUUUUUUUUUAACGUCAACCGUAUAUUGUUUUUUUAAUUAAAGACACUUUUUUGUCUUCAUGCCAUAAAUUAUUCCAUAAUUGCAAUAAACCACAAUAAAGUCCUUGAGUUUGUAGGUAAUUAGCAACAACCCACGUAAUUGUUUUCUUUUGUGCAUGGAGAUGCACGUUUACUUCCUUGCCUCGGCUUUCGCGACGUUUCGUCGGAUUCAAGUUCGGUAUUCAUUGGUACUAUAAUAACUACACUGGGCAAGAUCCAUGCUGGCUUAUGGAUUGAAAGCUAGUAACAUAAAAUGAACGUGAUGUUUCCACAAAUAUUCAACAAUUAUAAUUCACAUUAAUUCCGGCAUGCAAUCAACCAACACAGUUAACGCCUACAUAAUUAUCUACAAAAAUUUAUUGCGACUGAGACUAUGUGCACACGGUAACGUUUUCGAGCGUUUUCAGCUGUAACGUUUUCAAAGAGUGUCGUUUUCAAGCCGUGUCCACACGAAAACGGAUGAAAACGUCAUCUUAUGACGAAAACGUUCUCAAUGCUAAAAACGUUUUCGGACAAGCGUUUUCACGUUGACACGCUAAAAAUCCAAGAUGGCGGCUUAAAAUCAAAAUGUUAUAUUUUUGUUUCCUGGAAGCUUAGAUCUUUCAUUGGAUCAUUAAUUCUUAAGUUAAAAACUUUAGCAACAAAUAAAACAAAAUGUAUAGCCUUUCAAAUGUAUAAUGAUUUAUGAACGAUUUAAAAUGCGGUUUGCUUUCGAAGAAGCGACAGACUUCGUAUCGGUGAUGCUAAAACAGUUAACAGUACAUAUAAAACUGUUUACUUUAUGAUAAUGAGCAGAGAACAUUUUAAGAAACUCGUUGACAAGUAAUGACUUUAUCUGGUGGAAAAUGAAUGGUGAUAACAAGCCGCAAGAGAUGGAAUUUUUAUCGAGACAAACA